CCGCCCGUCACACCAUGGGAGUGGGUUGCAAAAGAAGUAGGUAGCUUAACCUUCGGGAGGGCGCUUACCACUUUGUGAUUCAUGACUGGGGUGAAGUCGUAACAAGGUAACCGUAGGGGAACCUGCGGUUGGAUCACCUCCUUACCUUAAAGAAGC
rnacentral:rRNA from 4 species